GAGUUGGUAGCUCAUUGGUAGAGUGCAUGUGUUGUAUGUAUGAUGUCCUGGGUUCAAUCCCCAGCUUCUCG
rnacentral:tRNA from 1 species